rnacentral:rRNA from 1 species
UACAGAGGUGGCAAGCGUUGUUCGGAAUUACUGGGCGUAAAGGGCGCGUAGGCGGUCUUGCAAGUCAUGUGUGAAAUCCCUCGGCUCAACUGAGGAACUGCACAGGAAACUGCGUGGCUUGAGUUCGGGAGAGGGAAGCGGAAUUCCGGGUGUAGCGGUGAAAUGCGCAGAUAUCAGGAGGAACACCGAUGGCGAAGGCAGCUCGCUGGGACGGUACUGACGCUGAGGCGCGAAAGCGUGGGGAGCGAACAGG